rnacentral:lncRNA from 1 species
CACGGUGGAAAAAGAGAGCGAGCGAGAGCGGGGGGGGGGGGGGGGAGGAGAGAGAGAGAGAGAGAGAGAGAGAAAGAGAGAGACCGUGGGCUUCCUGUCACCUUCUCUAACGGAGGAAGAGGAAUUUUCUAGACAAAGUGGUCCACGUUGAGUGAUUAAGCACCAGAGUUCUUGCCUUGUCUUAUGACAACCUGACUGUUUGUAUGUAUGUAUUCUUUAUCAAAUUGGAAUAAAAAACAAGGAAUUGUGUUUACC